rnacentral:misc_RNA from 1 species
GAUGAAGAACGCAGCGAAAUGCGAUAAGUAAUGUGAAUUGCAGAAUUCAGUGAAUCAUCGAAUCUUUGAACGCACAUUGCGCCCGCCAGUAUUCUGGCGGGCAUGCCUGUUCGAGCGUCAUUACAACCCUCAGGCCCCCGGGCCUGGCGUUGGGGAUCGGCGGAGCCCCCCGUGGGCACACGCCGUCCCCCAAAUACAGUGGCGGUCCCGCCGCAGCUUCCAUCGCGUAGUAGCUAACACCUCGCGACUGGAGAGCGGCGCGGCCACGCCGUAAAACACCCAACUCUUCUGAAGUUGACCUCGAACCAGGUAGGAAUACCCGCUGAACUUAAGCAUAUCAAUAAGCGGAGGA